GCGGAAGGAUCAUUACCUAGAGUUGUGGGCUUUGCCUGCUAUCUCUUACCAUGUCUUUUGAGUACUUACGUUUCCUCGGUGGGUUCGCCCGCCGAUUGGACAAUUUAAACCCUUUGCAGUUGCAAUCAGCGUCUGAAAAACAUAAUAGUUACAACUUUCAACAACGGAUCUCUUGGUUCUGGCAUCGAUGAAGAACGCAGCGAAAUGCGAUAAGUAGUGUGAAUUGCAGAAUUCAGUGAAUCAUCGAAUCUUUGAACGCACAUUGCGCCCCUUGGUAUUCCAUGGGGCAUGCCUGUUCGAGCGUCAUUUGUACCUUCAAGCUUUGCUUGGUGUUGGGUGUUUGUCUCGCCUUUGCGUGUAGACUCGCCUUAAAACAAUUGGCAGCCGGCGUAUUGAUUUCGGAGCGCAGUACAUCUCGCGCUUUGCACUCAUAACGACGACGUCCAAAAGUACUUUUUUACACUCUUGACCUCGGAUCAGGUAGGGAUACCCGCUGAACUUAAGCAUAUCAAUAAGCGGAGGAA
rnacentral:rRNA from 1 species